ensembl:lncRNA
GGAAUGGAACUGUGGUUAAUCAGUUAAGUCAUGGUGAAGGGAAAGGGGCGGUUCUUCGUUUUUUGAGAAAUACUGGUCUCCUCAAGAGGAUCUGAGGAUUCGGAAGUGAAGUAAGAAUAAAAGCCAGGAGAUGGCAGUAGUGCAACAUCUUUGGAUCUAAGCUGCCGUUAAACAUGAAAGAAGAAGAAGCGGUUUAAGAAGAUGUUCUUUAUAAGAGUAAGAACAGAAUGUUACAGUAGAGUCAUACAUGGAGCUAUCAGCAGAUGAGGUGGAGGAAAGCCCAACAUUAAGGAACGAAGAUGACAGCACAGACGAGGACACCAAAGCUUCCGAGGAGCAUCAGAAGGGUCAAAAGGAAGACAAUGGACUGCUUAUGGAUUAUGGAUUAUGGACCGCUUACUCUUCCUUAACUUCAUAAAUUAUUUGAUUUAAAAGAAAGGACACGAUCCAUCGAAGUGACUGGACAAUACAUCUGGUUUUGAUAAGGUUCUAAAAGGAUUUAAUUGCAACCUCAGAUAGCAACAAAUAUUGCAGCCGGACUUGUAUAACAAAAAUUUAGACAAAAUGCAAAAGCAUUGUAAAAAAGGCAAGUACUGUACACCCCAUCAUUCUUUAGCAGGAAUUAAGUAAUAAUGUCCUGAAUGACUUUAUCAGUCCC